UACGUAGGGUGCAGGCGUUAAUCGGAAUUACUGGGCGUAAAGCGUGCGCAGGCGGUCUACUAAGACAGGUGUGAAAUCCCCGGGCUUAACCUGGGAACUGCGCUUGUAACUGAUAGGCUUGAGUGUGGCAGAGGGGGGUGGAAUUCCAGGUGUAGCAGUGAAAUGCGUAGAGAUCUGGAGGAACACCGAUGGCGAAGGCAGCCCCCUGGGCUAACACUGACGCUCAUGCACGAAAGCGUGGGGAGCAAACAGG
rnacentral:rRNA from 1 species